AGUCGAACGAAGCGCUUAAAUGGAUUUCUUCGGAUUGAAGUUUUUGUGACUGAGUGGCGGACGGGUGAGUAACGCGUGGGUAACCUGCCUCAUACAGGGGGAUAACAGUUAGAAAUGACUGCUAAUACCGCAUAAGCGCACAGUGCUGCAUGGCACAGUGUGAAAAACUCCGGUGGUAUGAGAUGGACCCGCGUCUGAUUAGCUAGUUGGUGGGGUAACGGCCUACCAAGGCGACGAUCAGUAGCCGGCCUGAGAGGGUGAACGGCCACAUUGGGACUGAGACACGGCCCAAACUCCUACGGGAGGCAGCAGUGGGGAAUAUUGCACAAUGGGGGAAACCCUGAUGCAGCGACGCCGCGUGAGCGAAGAAGUAUUUCGGUAUGUAAAGCUCUAUCAGCAGGGAAGAAAAUGACGGUACCUGACUAAGAAGCACCGGCUAAAUACGUGCCAGCAGCCGCGGUAAUACGUAUGGUGCAAGCGUUAUCCGGAUUUACUGGGUGUAAAGGGAGCGUAGACGGUUGUGUAAGUCUGAUGUGAAAGCCCGGGGCUCAACCCCGGGACUGCAUUGGAAACUAUGUAACUAGAGUGUCGGAGAGGUAAGCGGAAUUCCUAGUGUAGCGGUGAAAUGCGUAGAUAUUAGGAGGAACACCAGUGGCGAAGGCGGCUUACUG
rnacentral:rRNA from 1 species